CCGAGUCUCAAUGACGGGCAUGCCCUGCCAGUUGGCGGGCAGAGACCUCCGCCCUGCCCGGGCCUCGGGCCUCGGUUUCGGAGGCCGCGGGCGGGCGCGGCUCCACGGGGGUCCGGGCGGCAGGGCGUGGCCACGAGGAGGGGCGGGGCCGCCACGAGGAGGGGCGGGGCCGCCACGAGGGCGGGAGCGGCGGCGGCUCGCGACCCCCUCCCACACCUGGGGCCCUGCCGGCCAUGACCGUGACGGCGUCCAGGUGCUCCGGCCGCGCGCAGGCGGCGGGGGCAGCCUGGGCCCGACUCCGCGGUGAGCGGCCGCGGGGGCGCCGGGCUCCGACGCCGCCCGGCUCUUCACCGUGGACUUCACCGCCUGGGGGGCCCUGGCCGGGAGCGGAGCCCCCGCCCCCGUCACCGUCUGCAGCGCUUUAUUCCCGGAGCUGGAGCGGCGGCCGCAGAGUGGGGCCGCGUGGUGGGGGCAGGAGUCCGGGAACUUCCUCCUGCUCUGCGAAACCGCGGCAGCAUCUCGGGUCCCCAGGGUCCCCAGGGCCUGGGCAGGGACACUCAUGCUUGGGCUCUGCUGGAGCCAGAAGAACUUGGGGUGAGUGGUGGUGGUUGGGGAGGGUCCAGGCCAGCGCCAGUCGCACCCUCAGACAUGUGACCCCAGGCGGUACUUGGCUCCCCCAGUUGGAAGCUGGUUGGUGACCAGAUGCGCCUGGGGACCCACGCAGGGAGCUAGGCCCGCCCACUUGCCACCCCAGCGGAUGUGGUGCUGCUCAAGUCACCAUUGCUCCUAGCACUGUCCUGUGGUCACAGACCUGGGUCCCGGCGAACUUCCUGGACCAGUGGCCCUUUUCUGCCUUCUAACCCAAGCCCGGCAACACUCCACCUGCCCACCCCCCGCCACCGCCGCCGCCGCCUUCCUUCAUGUGUCUAAAUCUGCUGCCCCCUCCCCUCCUGCUUCCCCAAACCCUCAUCUUGACCUUGGAGAACCUGAAACUCCAGCCUCCUGCCCCCAGGACUCACCUUGGAGAAGUAGGGCUACCGUCUGGCUGGGGCUUCCUGACCCCAGGGGGCCCAGCCCAGGCACAGGACAGGGAAUCCCCCCUGGGACCAUACCAGCCCUCCAGACCCUGCUGCUGACCUGCCCUGGUACCUGUGACAGGUGCCCUGGGGCAGCCACUGGCAAAGGACGGCACCUCUCGGGCUGACACACCUGAGAUUGUCCCUGGACGCUCACCAUUCUCAGGUUUGACAGUCCUGGAGGCACUGCCCAGGGGGCAGCUGACAGCCCUUAGCGGGCACGCUGCUCUUCCAAGCCCCCACCCAGUGUCACAGGAGCUUCUGCACGUCUGCAUUCCUCUUGCUGCUCCCAGGGCACCUCCAGGCUGCAGCCCCUCCCUCACAGCUCCCCUGCCAGGCCCUUCCCUGCACCCCUCGGCCUCCCCUGGGCCCAGAGGUGCCAGGUGCCCAGAAGGCAACAACACACAGCCACCAAUCAGCUCCAGGGGCCUAGUUCAUCCAGCCCCUGAGGGCCCCACCCAAGUGGUCUCCCUGAGCUGGAAGCCCCUCCAGUCCCCAGCAGCUGUGCAGAGUACUGCUCCCUGGACAGUCUUGACCUUGGCCCCCAGGUCCUGUUUCUGGGCUGGGAGGCUCUCUGGGGUGGAGGAUCGCCACUGCCCCCCGCCUGCCCCGCCCCCCGUGCUCCCCAC
rnacentral:lncRNA from 9 species